UACGUAGGGUGCAAGCGUUGUCCGGAAUUAUUGGGCGUAAAGAGCUCGUAGGCGGUUCGUCGCGUCUGCUGUGAAAACCCGAGGCUCAACCUCGGGCCUGCAGUGGGUACGGGCAGACUAGAGUGCGGUAGGGGAGAUUGGAAUUCCUGGUGUAGCGGUGGAAUGCGCAGAUAUCAGGAGGAACACCAAUGGCGAAGGCAGAUCUCUGGGCCGUAACUGACGCUGAGGAGCGAAAGCAUGGGGAGCGAACAGG
rnacentral:rRNA from 1 species